GAUGAACGCUAGCUACAGGCUUAACACAUGCAAGUCGAGGGGAAACGACAUCGAAAGCUUGCUUUUGAUGGGCGUCGACCGGCGCACGGGUGAGUAACGCGUAUCCAACCUGCCCAUCACUUGGGGAUAACCUUGCGAAAGUAAGACUAAUACCCAAUGAUAUCUCUAGAAGACAUCUGAAAGAGAUUAAAGAUUUAUCGGUGAUGGAUGGGGAUGCGUCUGAUUAGCUUGUUGGCGGGGUAACGGCCCACCAAGGCAACGAUCAGUAGGGGUUCUGAGAGGAAGGUCCCCCACAUUGGAACUGAGACACGGUCCAAACUCCUACGGGAGGCAGCAGUGAGGAAUAUUGGUCAAUGGGCGAGAGCCUGAACCAGCCAAGUAGCGUGCAGGAAGACGGCCCUAUGGGUUGUAAACUGCUUUUAUAAGGGAAUAAAGUGGGAGUCGUGACUCUUUUUGUAUGUACCUUAUGAAUAAGGACCGGCUAAUUCCGUG
rnacentral:rRNA from 1 species